UGGGGCGUCGCCAAGCGGUAAGGCACCGGUUUUUGGUACCGGCAUUCGUAGGUUCGAAUCCUGCCGCCCCAGCCA
rnacentral:tRNA from 23 species